GAUGAACGCUGGCGGCGUGCCUAAUACAUGCAAGUCGAGCGAACAGACGAGGAGCUUGCUCCUCUGACGUUAGCGGCGGACGGGUGAGUAACACGUGGAUAACCUACCUAUAAGACUGGGAUAACUUCGGGAAACCGGAGCUAAUACCGGAUAAUAUAUUGAACCGCAUGGUUCAAUAGUGAAAGACGGUUUUGCUGUCACUUAUAGAUGGAUACGCGCCGCAUUAGCUAGUUGGUAAGGUAACGGCUUACCAAGGCAACGAUGCGUAGCCGACCUGAGAGAGUGAUCCGCAACAUUGGAACAGAGACACGGUCCAGACACCUACGGAAGGCAGCAGUAGGGAAUCUUCCGCAAAGGGCGGAAGCCUGACGGAGCAACGCCACGUGAAUGAUGAAGGUCUUCGGAUCGUAAAACUCUGUUAUUAGGAAAGAACAAAUGUGUAAGUAACUAUGCACGACUUGACGGUACCUAAGCAGAAAGCCACGGCUAACUACGUG
rnacentral:rRNA from 1 species